GAUUUAGCGGCGGACGGGUGAGUAACACGUGGGCAACCUACCUAGUAGAUUGGGAUAACUCCGGGAAACCGGGGCUAAUACCGAAUAAUCCAUUUUGUCACAUGGCAAAAUGCUGAAAGGCGGUUUCGGCUGUCACUACUAGAUGGGCCCGCGGUGCAUUAGCUAGUUGGUGGGGUAAUGGCCUACCAAGGCAACGAUGCAUAGCCGACCUGAGAGGGUGAUCGGCCACAUUGGGACUGAGACACGGCCCAAACUCCUACGGGAGGCAGCAGUAGGGAAUCUUCCACAAUGGACGAAAGUCUGAUGGAGCAACGCCGCGUGAGUGAUGAAGGUUUUCGGAUCGUAAAACUCUGUUGUAAGGGAAGAACAAGUACGUUAGUAACUGAACGUACCUUGACGGUACCUUAUUAGAAAGCCACGGCUAACUACGUGCCAGCAGCCGCGGUAAUACGUAGGUGGCAAGCGUUGUCCGGAUUUAUUGGGCGUAAAGCGCGCGCAGGUGGUUUCUUAAGUCUGAUGUGAAAGCCCACGGCUCAACCGUGGAGGGUCAUUGGAAACUGGGAGACUUGAGUGCAGAAGAGGAAAGUGGAAUUCCAAGUGUAGCGGU
rnacentral:rRNA from 1 species